GUAAAAAUGACAGAUGGGAGUGAAAUGUAAACUAACUUGUUUAACAUGUGAUAAAUUGAUAUAAGUAGAACAAAACGUGCAAAUCAUGUGUUUCACCUUCGUUACAUUGGUAUAUUUGUGACUACUAUAAUAAUAAUAUAGUAUACAGUAGUUAAGCUUUACAGACAUGUUUGUGGUAAGUUACUGUAGUCUAUUUUUAUUUUUUUUCCAAUAAUAAUAUACACCAAUAUUCAAUUUGAUUUAUCAGCUGUCAGUAACCACUUUUUAAUAAUCAUAAUAUUUUUAUUCAGGUGCCAGGUCAUAUAUGUUUUUUAGUAUGGUAUUAAACGACUCGGGGGGGGGGGGGGGGGGGGGGAAUGAGUUCUAAAACACAAAUUAUGCCAAUAAAGUUGCCAGAAGACAUUUUAUGGCUGUGUUUACACUUUGAUUUGUAUAAUCUUACUAUCAUCCUCAAAAUCUGUUCUGAGUGCAGACAAACAAGUGCAUGUUAUGGUUUUAUAAGGCCUGGAUGGACCAAACUUGAUCCAUAGACAUUUUACAAACAAUUUAGAUUUAAACAGAUCUGUACCCCAGAUUUUUGUAAUUCCUAAUCCCAGUGACUGUCAUACAUCUCAUAUAUCCUGAAUGCCACUUGCAGCAGUACCUUCUAGAAACAGUAUGGAAUUACCAGUAAUUAAGUUAACUAAUUGUCGUCCAUUUGGGAAAUUAAACUGACCAUUUAAUCAUCCACUAUCCAGCUAUCAUCAUCUAACAACUUCAGCUCUCCCUUGACAUGGUUUGCAAGUAUGGUCUUGAGGAAACAAUGUAAGUCCACUGGAAGGGGGAUAAUAAAUGGCUGACCCGUGUUAGUUUUAAGGGCAUACGAUACAGUUACGGAGGAGGUAAUGACAUUGCUAACGUAAAUUGUUAUUUUUGCGAAUUGGGAAAAGAUGCAGUUUUCAACUGAUUUUUAUCAUUCAAACUUAUUUAACUUGAAAACGAGUUCAUGGACCCCUCUUUUUUAAAAUGCCAUUUGAUUUGAUUAUGCAAGAAGAUUAUGUGUGCCAAUUUUCAUGAAAAGGUAAAUAGUGCAAUUUUUUUUUUAAAUUUGAUAAAUAUACAGCAAAAAUUAUGUUUUUACAUUCAUGAACAUUUGAUAAAUAUAUGAGUUAUUUCUAAAUAAAAAAUGUAUGAAUUUUUUAUAAAAUACAGAAAUUACAAAUUCUUUUAAAAAAAUCAAUUUGUGUUUAUCUUUUAAAACUAAAAAGUUAUGUCUUUCUUUUGAAAGGGAAAAUAAGGUCACAAAUCCAAACUUUGAGAAAAUAUACAAAAUUUCGACCUCAUUUUACUAAAAAAGUAGCACAUGAAGGUAUAUUUUUUAUUACAUACUAGAACACACCCGCGAAAUAGCGGGCAUUCAGAGCGUAGUUUAAAGUAUGUAAAGUGUUGUUGGAAGAAUUUUGUGAAAUAUUGAAUGACUGGAGAAUUUCAGCAAAAUUAUCAUAAAUCAUAGGUUAUUGGGGACAGGAAAAUUUUUUUUUAAUCCCUCCUCCUUUAUUUCCAAAAUUCCCAAUGUGUGGUUUUCUAUCAAUAUCAAUAUGAAUAUACAUUUAGUAUGUUAUGAACAUUUAAGUAAGGAGCCUGUACUUCAGUGGUUGUCGUUUGUUUAUGCGUUACAUAUUUGUUUUUCGUUCAUUGUUUGUACAUAAAUAAGGCCGCUAGUUUUCUCGUUUGAAUUGUUUUACAUUUUCAUUUCGGUGCCUUUUAAAGCUGAGUAUGCGGUAUGGUCUUUGCUCGUUGUUGAAGGCCGUACGAUAACCUAUAGUUGUUAAUUUCUGUGUCAUUUUGGUCUCUUGUGGAGAGUUGUCAACAUGGCAAUCAUACCACAUCUUCUUUUUUUUGUAAUCAAUGAAUUUUGUAAUUUAAGAUUUAAUGACUGGAGAAUUUCAGAAAAGGUAUCAAAAGUGCACAUGAAUAAUUUUAGCGCUUAUCUGUAUAUUAUGAACAUUCACUAUAUAAAUAAAGUGUAUUUACUUUCAAUUCUAAGUUUUCUAAUCGAUCCAUGGUGGUCAUUGAUAUAGUAUACAGACCCUCUCUAUUUAAUAAACUCUGUGACCACCAUGGAUAGUAAACUUGAAAAUGAUAGCAGAUAGAAUUCUGAAAUAUACACUUUAUUCGUAGUAUAUGUAUGUUCAAAGUAUACAGAAAAACGCAAACCGGAAAGUAUAAUCUGACUUAAAAUUUUGUCCAAUGACGGGACAAUAUCCGGAUGCCCUUUUUCUCGAUUUUCUCCCAAAAUAACUCAAUCUGAAUAAUCAUAUGAAUGGAUGACAAAUGCGACUAUGCACUGUACCUAUAGGACACAGAGGCGUGUUGAUUAAUUUAUUGUGGAAAGAAGAGAAGCGACACCCAAAAUGAGGUCUUCUCGUUUAAUAGUAUAGAUUUGAAUUAAUCAGGUAAAAAAUAGUCUAUAUGGAAAUUUUUAUCAAACUGUAAAUACAGGAUCAAAACUGUAUCGUAUGCCCUUACACGUAAAAGACACCCUUGUAGAGUUCGAAAAAGAGCAGGCUUAUUCUGCUACAAGACAGCACUCGCACCUGCAAAGUGGAAAGGGAUUGAUAUAAGUUGCAAUAACUUAUUUCCCAAUCAACUAUAAAUAAAUAUCAUUAUUUAUAUGUAUAAAACUAAACUAUCAUCAUCUCUGUAACAAUACCCCUAGGAACCUCCAAUAAGAACGUAUACAGACAUGUGUGAAUAAGCAGCCAACCACAUUUUAUAACUUUAUUAACCUACUUUCAUUUUAUUCAACUUAUCUAUUUCAUCUAUUUAUUUUUCACUUUCAUUUUCACUUUCACUUUCUAUUAUUUAACAUGUUUAAAGAUAAUGUUGUCAUACAUAACAACCAUUAUUAUAAAAUUACUUAAUCCCUGUCAUUGACCGCAAAAUGUGUACUUCACUGUUUUAUUUCAUGGAUAAACUUGUCCUGAAAACACCAUGCUCGCUGUGGAAAUGUCAAAACCAAUAAAACUUUUGCAAUACGAUAAAAACAUUUGAGUGCUGUUGUCUUAGGGAGCUACCAUUUGAUUUUUAUGGGGGGGGGGGGGGGGGGGCUAGGAUGAAAUUUGAAAAAAAUAGGCAGGACAGGAGUUUUGAGUAAAAAAAAAGGCAGGAUGAGACACUUCAAAAAAAAAAAGUCAGGACGACAAUUCAGGUAAAAAAAAGUCUGGAUAAACUAAAAAAAAAAAGGCAGGACCGAACAGAGUGAAAAAUAAAAAGGCAGGACAGAGAUUACAACUAAAAAAAAAUGCAGGACAAAAUUUUUCAUCCUAGCCCCCCCAUAAAAAUCAAAUGGUAGCUCCCUUAUACAUGUUAUAACAGAUUUGUAUCAUGUUGUAUUGGUAAUUUUUUGGACAAAAUCUUAUGUAAAAUUGAUACUUUUUUCUCAACAUGGUUUAAUGUUUAUCUAAAAUUUUUGUUUACAAUGAACAUGAUGAAUGCGCACAUAAUGUAUGAAGUUUUACUAUUUUUGUGUGAAUCAUACAUGUACAUGUAGCAUUAUUAUUUCUUACACCAAUCAGGCUUUUUCCAAAGGAGGGAUAUACUGCAUGUUUCGUGACCCCUGCCUGUAUCUGUCAAUUUUUCAUAUAAAUACAAAAGGGAGCUUUCUCAAAUCGUUAAAUCAUAAGCCAUCAACUAACAUCAUCCUCAGUGGCGGAUCCAGCCAUUUUAAAAAGGGGGGGUUCCCAACACAGAGUAAAGGGGGUUCCAACUAUAUGCUCCCAUUCAAAUGCAUUGAUCGGCCAAAAAAAAGGGGGGUUCCAACCCGCGGAACCCCCCCCCCCCGGAUCCGCCACUGAUCCUUUUAUUAAAAUUACUAUUGACACCUUUAUUUUAAAUUAUUCCUGGCAUUGUUGCCAAUUAGCUUCAUAAAAACAUUAAUCUGUAGAUUAUUACUAUUAGGUCAAAAGGAUAACCAUUUUAUGAGGACAUGCUUUACUGUAUGAGAAGUGCAUUUUCAAUUUCAUCUAUUAUGAAUCAACUUCCCUUUUACCAAAUACUUAGUCAUAAUUUUAACUUAAUUAUAAUUGAGUACUUGGUAAACAGGAAGUUAAUUGAUAAAAGAUGAAUAUAUGAAAAUGCAUUUCUUUUUGACAACUAACUAUAGAAAACAUAUUUUUGGAUAAAAAUUCUAACAAUAAAAAAAAAUGUCUGUUAUAAUUCUACAUAUCUGUAUUUUUUAAUCUACAUUUAAUUGUAAAAUAAUAACUUACACUUACUUGUUAAAAGAUACUGUAAAAUUGCAAUAUAAAUCAUGAAAUCAUUAUUCUGAAAUUAUUGGAACACAGGAUUCAUCUUUAAUAAGCAAUGAUAAGUUUAAAGGAUUUGUCUCCUCUAGUUGAACAUAAAAAGACUGAAGUUUUCAGAAGUACCCAUUUUAAAAUAACUAUUUCUAUCAUAGUUAUAAAUUUAUCCUGUACAUUUUCUGUAGGUACAAUGUAACAUUUGAGCCAUCUUCAUGAUCUAACCACACCAUUUCAUUAAAUAUGUUAAAAAAUACUAUCAACACCUUUAUUAAUUAGUCCAUUGUUGUCAAUAGCUGUAAUAACAGUCUGCCUAUUAUUGAUUUUCUAUCAAAAUUGUAAUGUUACAAGUUCUAGGUGAACUCCUAAUGUUGGCGAUCAGGGAAAUAUUCAGAGAAACCUGAAAAAGUAAACAAGAUGGAAGAACCAUUAUAUGAGACUUUCACCGAAUUCUUUCACAGAAAAUGGGAUAUCCCAGGAAAUUCUGUUCUCAUAAUCUCCAUAUGACCCUAGAAAUCCUGAAAAGUCUUGAAAUUUGUUUCAGAAAGUCCUGGGAUAACCCGACAAAAUAUCUCAGGAAGUCCAAGGAAGGUCUUGGGAUAACUCAGGAUAUCCCAAUAGAUUUUUGCAAGGGAAUUACAUGUAAUUUAUUCUACUUAUGAUUAUGACUACCUUGAAGCCUGGAUCAUAAGUCAGUAAUUCAGAUUAUGCUUAAUUUGAAACAUCAUGACAGUUACUGGUAUGUAAUUUAUUUGUAUAUUGAAGAUGAAACCUCUAUCCUGACAAUGUGAGGUUGCAUACAACAUGUACAAUGUUGAUGAGUUAAACAUUGCCAUUUUAAAACAGUAGGAAAUCUAAGUUUUAUGACUUCAAUAAAGUAUGAGAAGAGUGGCAGCACAUAUAAACUACCAAUAAGGUAAACGUUACGUGAAACUAUAAAGAAAUUGUGUUGAAAAUAGAAUGUGUCCCCAGUACACGGAUGCCCCACUCCCACUAUUAUUUUCUAUGUUCAGUGGACCGUGAAAUUUGGGUAAAAACUCUUAAUUUUGCAUUAAAAUUAGAAAGAUCAUAUUAUAGGGAACAUGUGUACUGAGUUUCAAGAUGAUUGCACUUCAACUUCAUCAAAAACUUCCUUGACCAAAAACUUUAGUGAGAAGCGGGAUGAAUGGAUGGAUGGAUGGACGAAUGGUCAGAUCAGAAAACUAUCGUAGGUGGGGCAUAAAUAGAGGGAUCCAUUCUUGUGUUUGUUGUUUAAUCUUAAAAGUUGAAGAUAUCAAAAUUGACUUUACAACAAAUGUUUGCAUAUAUUUUAUAUGCAGACUGUCAUUUAUCUGGAACUUGAAAUAGUACAGGUAAAUAUGUCAGUGUUACAUGUACAUUGUAUUGAAAUUGUUUUUAUCAAAGCAAACAAUGGAGAUAUCAUGUAUAUCAUGUAUAUAUUAUAAUGUAAUUGAUGAAUCCGUUAUUUCAGGUUGUUGUUUAGGGGAUUUGUGUCAGGUUAACAAGGUACAAAAAAAUGUACAUGUAAAAUCUUUAGGUAUCAUGCGUUUAUGAAUCACUCAACCUUCAGGAUCUUUGAUCAUUUGAUUUUGUAUAUGAUUAUGAUCAUGAUAAAAGUAUGAAUGUUUGCAUUUAUAUUUUAAGUUGGAAAUCCUGACACAAUAAAACAAUCUCCUUUCCAAAUGCAAUUUAAAGUCUUGGUGGGAAUGGCUUUUUAUCUGCAUGUUUAAAAAAAAAGAGGAUGAAAUCAAAACAAAACAAUGUUGGAAUGAUCUUCAGAACUUAAACAGUUGUUUCUUAUGUCCUAAUGAAAAGUCCAAUAUGGUUUAAGGUAAGGUUUGCGGUCACUGGGAGAUAACUCGUAUUGAAAUUGGGGAAUAAUGCCAAUUCAUUUGAGUAUUUGAAAUCAGCUAUAUUAACUGUGUUGAUGCAAACUUAAUUUGCUAGCAUUCUGCUGAUCAUCUGCAAAAUGUACAUGUUAAGAACUAAAACAGGAAAAAAUCAAUCUAAAAAGUCCUAUCUUAGUUGAAUCAAAUCUUUAUAGGUGCUUUAAUUUUGUUCUUAUAGAAUUAUAUUCUUAACAAGAUUUGUUACUUUGGUGGACGUCAACUUAAAAUUGAAAAAAUUGUCUUCUGUGGAGGUCAAAAUUUCCAUUUGAUCCCAAUGAGAUAUAAUUGGAUUUUGAAAUACAUGUAUUAAAAUCCAAUGAUACAAUAAUGUUCAUGAAUAAUUUCAAGGUGAUGUAAGAUGUUCAUAUCGAUCAUGUAAUUGUAAAUUGUAAUUUUCUGUUUUGCCUAUAUAUAUCUAUUUCUUUUUUCUUCUUCUUGAUAAUGAAUUGUUAGCUUAAUUGAUGUUACUCCUUUUAGUUGCUUUAACUUUAUCAUGUUAAUAGAGUACCAGAAUGCCCUAACAUAGACAUGAUAGAUAAGGCAUGUUAAGGAAACCUGUCAAACUAAUUGUAUUUCGGAGUCAAAAGACAGUUAUAUGAAAAAGUUUAUUGUCAAGAUAACUGUAUUUAAGAUGAGGGUAUAGAUUUUUAAUCACUUCCAUCACUGCAUUAAAUAAUGUAUACAAAUUGUACUUUGACAUUAGGGUUUUAAACAGGAUACAACUUUUAUAUACAUUUUGAUAAUGAAGUUUAUGAAAGAGAAAGUUAUUUCAUUUCUUACCUUAUAUGAUAAGUAGGUUCAUCAACUUGUAUGUUUUUAUAUAUUUACAGGUGAAAAUAUUCUGUUAGAAUGUAGUGAUUGUAUAAACAGCAAAUACAUGAAAUAUGAAAGGCCAGACAGUAAUUAUCAGCAUAUAAGUACUAUAGGACAAUUUUAUAUACAUGUACACUGAAGAUCUUCAAGAACAGCUAGAAUUCCAGUAAUCUGCAAUACUCAUCUUUGGCUCAAAGUCUCAAACAUUUCAUCUCACAAUGUCUUCAAUGGUCAAUAAACUUCCAAUGUCUCAGAGACUUGGUUUCAGUAUUGGACAUGUGUUAAACGAUCUGACAGCUUCCAUGUGGUUUAGUUAUUUGAUAAUAUACUUUCACCAAGUGAAAAGAUUCAAUAAUAUUUUAGCUGGAUUAUUAAUGUUAAUAGGACAAGUUAGUGAUGCUAUGUUCACUCCGUUCAUUGGUUUUGAAUCAGACAGUACAGUGGGGAUAUGCAAUUUAGGGAAAAGAAAAUCCUGGCAUUUUGUUGGUAAGUUUUAUCAUUGAUUGAGCUUGUAACCUUGUCAAAAUCAGAGUAAGACUAGU
rnacentral:lncRNA from 1 species